AACGAACGCUGGCGGCAGGCCUAACACAUGCAAGUCGAGCGAGACCUUCGGGUCUAGCGGCGGACGGGUGAGUAACGCGUGGGAACGUGCCCUUUUCUGCGGAAUAGCCUCGGGAAACUGAGAGUAAUACCGCAUACGCCCUUUUGGGGAAAGAUUUAUCGGAGAAGGAUCGGCCCGCGUUGGAUUAGGUAGUUGGUGGGGUAAUGGCCUACCAAGCCGACGAUCCAUAGCUGGUUUGAGAGGAUGAUCAGCCACACUGGGACUGAGACACGGCCCAGACUCCUACGGGAGGCAGCAGUGGGGAAUCUUAGACAAUGGGGGCAACCCUGAUCUAGCCAUGCCGCGUGAGUGAUGAAGGCCUUAGGGUUGUAAAGCUCUUUCAGCUGGGAAGAUAAUGACGGUACCAGCAGAAGAAGCCCCGGCUAACUCCGUGCCAGCCGCCGCGGUAACAC
rnacentral:rRNA from 1 species